CGUUAGGGGUGAGGAUCUCAUACCUGGAGCAGAGCAGAGAGGGUUUAGCAGAGACGAGGGGACACCGGAAGAAUCAUCCGCCUUUUAUUAACGGCGAAAGGAUACUGAAUAGUUGAGUGGAUGACCUCUGCCUGAACUCCUGGAAGACGAUGCGGUUGGGGAAGCCCUGUCUGCAGAUGCGAAUCCCCUCCAGUACCCCAUUACACCUCAGCUGGUCCAGAACCAGGUGCGGGUCCAGUUUACCAGCCUGGAGCAGAUGAAGGGGAACAUUUAAAUGUAUGGGGUGAAGGUGCUGGAUUGAUCGUUAACAAAAAUCCACCAGAUAUAUAAUAAACUGAACGUGGAGUGGAGCCCUUUGAGAACUCACUCUUUUCUCAUGGUUGGGGAUGAUGCAGCGGACAAAGUUGGGGUUGGUGUUCCUCAGUGUGGCCAUCAGCUUGGAUAACUGCUCCUUGUACAGCUGUCCCACGGUGCGGAACAUGCCCUUCUUGGUCUUGUAGGCGGCGCCAAACGCCGUCUCAUUCAUGCCUGCCACCUGGUCCAGACCCACGAUUCUGUCGACUGGUGUUGACAAACGAUAUGAAGAGGACGCAGAGAUCUUGUGAUGCUGGUUUGACUGAAUAAUGUGGGAAGUACAUCAGAGCAAAAUGUCGUGCUGUUGACAUGAAUGUAGAAAAGAGAAAAGCCAAUGACUUGUCAGUCUUUUAUCUAAAUCCAAUGUGGAGACUCGGCAGGGCGGGUUGCCAAUAAAGGCUGAAGUCUU